GAGAGGACAUGGGAAGGGCAAGAAAGGUAAAGGGAAGGGGAAGGGCAAGAAGAAAUACCCCAACCUCAAUGAUCUCGAGAAGAGUGCCAUCACUUUACCUUCCAGACUAGAGAGGAAGGUUUUCAACCCCGAGCUCCAUGAGGCGAGUGACAGACGUCAUUUAAGAAAUCGACAAAUUGAAACAUGCAAAGUUUGCAAACCAAUUUAAUUAAGCUAUGCACUGAAUUAACAGAAAGUUAAGGAGACCGGUUGAUUUUGUGCCAGUUAUAUCAUACUCAUCUACAGAUACUGUCUGUACUGGUGGAAAUAACUCAGGAACCUUUUUCAAGAUUCACACACAAAGACUUAUCGGCCAUUUAAUGUACAUGUAAUACACAAUUGUUGAAUUGCAUGCUUUC
rnacentral:lncRNA from 1 species